CCUCCCUGAGCCGCUGACCCCCCUCCCUGAGCCGCUGACCCCCUCCCUGAGCCGCUAGCCUGCUGACCCCCUCCCUGAGCCGCUAGCCCGCUGACCAUGCAGCUAUUGCUCCAGGCUACAAACAGCUGCCGCUCCGCUCGUCUCCCUGAAUUCAACACGGUACAUUCAUUCAUUUUAGAAAGAAGAACACACUAACAUUUUGACAAGUCAUUUUAAAUGUUUUUAAAUCUGCAACAACAGAACAUCUGAAAUGGGCAUCUGAAAUGGGUACACAACAGAACAUCUGAAAUGGGUACCCAACAGAACAUCUGAAAUGGGUACCCAACAGAACAUCUGAAAUGGGCAUCUGAAAUGGGUACACAACAGAACAUCUGAAAUGGGUACACAACAGAACAACAGAACAUCUGAAAUGGGUACACAACAGAACAACAGAACAUCUGAAAUGGGUACACGACAGAACAUCUGAAAUGGGUACCCAACAGAACAACAGAACAUCUGAAAUGGGUACCCAACAGAACAUCUGAAAUGGGUACACAACAGAACAUCUGAAAUGGGUACACAACAGAACAACAGAACAUCUGAAAUGGGUACACGACAGAACAUCUGAAAUGGGUACCCAACAGAACAACAGAACAUCUGAAAUGGGUACCCAACAGAACAUCUGAAAUGGGUACCCAACAGAACAUCUGAAAUGGGUACACAACAGAACAUCUGAAAUGGGUACCCAACAGAACAUCUGAAAUGGGUACCCAACAGAACAUCUGAAAUGGGUACCCAACAGAACAUCUGAAAUGGGCAUCUGAAAUGGGUACACAACAGAACAUCUGAAAUGGGUACACAACAGAACAACAGAACAUCUGAAAUGGGUACACGACAGAACAUCUGAAAUGGGUACCCAACAGAACAACAGAACAUCUGAAAUGGGUACCCAACAGAACAUCUGAAAUGGGUACACAACAGAACAUCUGAAAUGGGUACCCAACAGAACAUCUGAAAUGGGUACACAACAGAACAUCUGAAAUGGGUACCCAACAGAACAUCUGAAAUGGGUACCCAACAGAACAUCUGAAAUGGGUACCCGACAGAACAUCUGAAAUGGGUACCCAACAGAACAGAACAUCUGAAAUGGGUACACGACAGAACAUCUGAAAUGGGUACCCAACAGAACAGAACAUCUGAAAUGGGUACCCAACAGAACAUCUGAAAUGGGUACCCAACAGAACAGAACAUCUGAAAUGGGUACCCAACAGAACAGAACAUCUGAAAUGGGUACCCAACAGAACAUCUGAAAUGGGUACACAACAGAACAUCUGAAAUGGGUACCCAACAGAACAUCUGAAAUGGGUACACAACAGAACAUCUGAAAUGGGUACACAACAGAACAGUGUAGAUCCAAAAGCUGAACUCCAAAGGCACAUCUGACAAAGAUGCUGCUUGUCUUCUCUCCACUGUGAGCAGAUGGAAGGGUGCUCUGCUGACUGGCUGGCUGGCUGGCUGGCUGGCUGGCUGGCUGGCUGCAUGUUACAGAGCAUUAGACUGCUGAUUACUGCAGAUGGAAGGGUGCUCCACUGGCUGGCUGGCUGGCUGACUGGCUGGCUGGCUGCAUGUUACAGAGCAUUAUACUUCUGAUUACUGCAGAUGGAAGGGUGCUCUGCUGGCUGGCUGGCUGACUGGCUGGGGCAUUUUCAUAACUUCUGGUCAUUUCUUCAAAAGACAAAUGUUUUUACACAAUUACUUUGCAUUUACCUUGAAUUGCAGUACUGUAUAAUACCCAUUUAGUAUUGUGCACAUUGUAAGUUGCUUCAUUCAUCAUUGUUUUCAUACACAGAACUGAGGCAACUUCCAAAACUAGCAUUGUAUUUCUAGACAGAGAAUGGAUGGUAAAGACUCCUUGAACCCCCAGAGGAAAUAGUUUUUUUUUUGGAUUGUUAUACACUUGGUUAAUAUUCUGAUAUGCAGCAUGCGUUAAUCUACUUUAAUAUCAGGAUGGUAAAAGCUGUAAUACAAAGUGUUGUUUUUCUGAAUAGCAUCUGGGGCUAACGCUAGCCCAGUCAAUUCAAGUCGUUAUGUCUCCUAGCUUGGAAUUCAUUGUCCCCCUUCCCCAUUUUUUUUUUUAAAUUUCUAACCCGGGUACAAAUCAACCUCUAUUGGCCAGUCAAACCGCCUGGAAAAGUAGUCAUACAUUGUUAUGGGUGUUAUCUGUCUUUUUUUUUAUUUUAAUGGUUCUGCCAGCCUGGAGAAUGGACCUGGACGCAGCACACGGACCCAGAAGGGGAAUGCUUGAAAGAUAUCUUGUACAUUGGACCUAUGAAUCAAUGUUUUAAAAGCUAAAUAGUUCACAGCAUUUCAACAUUUACUUGCCAGUCAACUAAAGCUAAAACACUUCCAGGUUGUGUGUGUGUGUGUGUGUGUGUGUGUGUGUGUGUGUGUGUGUGUGUGUGUGUGUGUGUGUGUGUGUGUGUGUGUGUGUGUGUGUGUGUGUGUGUGUGUGUGUGUGUGUGUGAGAGAGAGAGGGGGAGAGAGAGAGAGGGAGAGAGAGAUACCUAGUAACAGUAGGUAGAGAUGUGAUAUUAUAAAAGGUAUUUGGAGAGAGAGAGAGAGAGAGAGAGAGAGAGAGAGAGAGAGAGGGAGAGAGAGAUACCUAGUAACAGUAGGUAGAGACGUGAUAUUAUACCGAGAGAACUUGAGAGAAAGAAAGAGGUGGGUUUUGGGUCCAUAACGCUCCCCAGUACGUUCAGCAGCUUCUGAGUCGUGUUGUCCAACGUUGCAUAGAUCCUGUCUGUUACGUCGGGACGCUUCGGCGUACGACAGGAAGGUGCACGCCAGAACGAAGGGGUCGAGUUCGAGAACAUCAUCAAAACAACGCGAUGUAAUCAUGGGUAAAUUAAGACUUGACCUACCAAAAUAAUAUUUAGUCUUUAUUUAUGACGGAAAGGUGAUUUUUCCAGUCUGGAUUCGUUUUUAAAGUCGGCUUGCGAUGUUGAUAGGCGUCUUACGACCGUCCCAUUAUGGCGCCUUAUUCCCUCCAUAGUGCACUAGGUAAAUAGGGGCCUAUUUGGGACGUGCUCCAGCAGGGCCAGACGAGGUCAGAUGUACUUGUUGGCCAGGUUCUGCACGUCGUUCUUACUGAAGGCAUCACUGUCCACGGCGGACAGACGGUCAAACAGUCGAGUCAUCUGAUCACGUUCACUCUUCUCCAGGAGCAUCACGACGACCUGUUAAUACACAGAGACAGAGGUUAACACGGCGUCAUGACGACCUGUUAAUACACAGAGACAGAGGUUAACACGGCGUCACGACGACCUGUUAAUACACAGAGACAGAGGUUAACACGACGACCUGUUAAUACACAGAGACAGAGGUUAACACGGCGUCAUGACGACCUGUUAAUACACAGAGACAGAGGUUAACACGGCGUCAUGACGACCUGUUAAUACACAGAGACAGAGGUUAACACGGCGUCAUGACGACCUGUUAAUACACAGAGACAGAAGUUAACACGACGACCUGUUAAUACACAGAGACAGAGGUUAACACGACGACCUGUUAAUACACAGAGGUUAACACGACGACCUGUUAAUACACAGAGGUUAACACGACGACCUGUUAAUACACAGAGGUUAACAUGACGACCUGUUAAUACACAGAGACAGAGGUUAACACGACGACCUGUUAAUACACAGAGGUUAACACGACGACCUGUUAAUACACAGAGGUUAACACGACGACCUGUUAAUACACAGAGACAGAGGUUAACUACCAAACUGCUGUUUCCCAUGAUUGGUAUCAAUAAACAAUACAACAGAAGAGAGAAACACAGUGGUCAAAACAGCAGCCUCAGUACUACAACCUUGCAACAGGAGAGAGACACACAGUGGUCAAAACAGCAGCCUCA
rnacentral:lncRNA from 1 species